rnacentral:rRNA from 1 species
CUUCCCCGAACGGGGGCCGUUCGAUCGCGCUCAUCUCGUUGUUCCCGACGCAUUUGUCUCCCGCCCUAAGGACGCCGCAGCCGGUUCGGUAGCUGAAAGCGCGACGGCCAGAAGGAUGGAUCAAUGGCAGGUGGCCGGUGGGGGAGCUCGUCUUCCUCGCCGGUUGUUAGCCGGUCCGUCAGUGGCUCGUCACUGAACCGAGGUGUCAAAAAGCCCUCAGGGGCCCUCACGCGUCCUCCUCUUGAGAUGCGGGAUAAAGCGUUACAGGCGAGCUCCGCCGCUAGAUCGCACUCCUGACGAGUGGAUCGGCUCUCGGAGAGCACCGCUGGUUUCGUUAGACCCGUUGGAGGCCGGAGGCUGGCGGCGAGUAGGUCGGUCACCCAUCCGACCCGUCUUGAAACACGGACCAAGGAGUCUAACAUGUGCGCGAGUCAAUGAGUCUUGAUUAGGCUCAUGGGCGCAAUGAAAGCAAAGGUCGUCUGAACGGCGACCGAGUUGGGAUCUGACCCCUGACGGGGUCAGCGCACCAACGACCCGUCCUAUCUGGCUCGCCAGUUGGGCGGAGUGUGAGCGCACACGUUGGGACCCGAAAGAUGGUGAACUAUGCCCGGACAGGACGAGGCCAGAGGAAACUCUGGUGGAGGUCCGCAGCGGUUCUGACGUGCAAAUCGAUCGUCAGAUCCGGG